GGAAUAUCAACAAAGUGAAGCUGUUUUCUCCUCACUGCAUCCCGUCAGGACAAUUCUUCACUGAUUAAAAUCUGGUUACAAAACAAGGGACCUAGAGAGAUGUUCACUUCACCACUUCUCUACAGAUGCCUCCUGCUGCUUCCAACUUUUCUCCUUUAAGGCAGGGUGAAUCCAAAUCAUGGUCUUAGCCCUGAAGGAGGCACCAAAGCAGUUUCGUUGCCCUGUGAAAAGCUUCUAGAGGAGCUCAUCUGAAUGCUUGAAGAAACCAGCCGCCCUUGCAAUUACCUAAAAGGAAUUGAGUCAUUUUAACAAGACAUUAUUUCUGCCAUCCACGGUCACAAUCAUCUCUUU
rnacentral:lncRNA from 10 species